AUUAACACGGGGAGGCGACAUGAGCGCCCCCUCUUUCCCCAUCCCGUCCCUCGCCACACACACGCGCACACGCGCGCGCGCACACACACGCACAGAGUGAGGUGGAUUUCCUGCUCAGCUCAGAUGCGUAAAGGGGCGGUCAAACGCCCCACACAUCCACCAGAGGCUGAAACAGCAGCAGCAGCAGCAGCAGCAUUUCUAUGGAGCGGACCAGGGGACGGGACGAAUGUUCUCUCACUGCAGCAGCCUGCAGUGACAUGUGGACUCGCCUGGACUUGUUAGAACCAAGCCAGAGGGCGGACCUCCCGGCUUUUCAUGCGAGGAUGCUCGUCUCUUCUUCUUUUUCAAUUUUGGUGCCACAAACAUCAACACUCAGGAGCCCCUGGCGAAGUGGUAGUUUUAUGUUCUAUUUAUUGAUUGAUUGUUUUUUCCCCCCGUGUUAUACUGUCUGUUUUGAGUUUGCUAAUUGCUAAUACGUUUAUUAAUGAGCAGCUUGAAUGACAGCUCAUUAGAUUGACUUCAUAUUUUCAUAUAUAUUUUUGACACUGAAGGCCAUGUGAAAAGGUUGAAUUAAUGUAAGUAUAAAAUCACAAUAUCCUGUUUUGAUUAUUAGCCAUCAAUUUCAUUCAUCGAGCAACUGAGAAAGGUUUUUCAUUUCUAAAAGAACAUUAACCGAAGAGCAAACCUGUCGCAAUUUUCUACAAGUUCACCUUCGCUUCUGGUCGGCAUGUUGCCACGCCACGCGAGUUGCUUUGUGGCAGAGUGGACGCACCAGUUCUUGUUAAAGCAAGUUUUUGCUAAAUGACUCAAUAGAAUCGUCAUUGGUUUGUCCGCAACAUGUGCUACUGGGAGCCACUGGAACCAUUCGUGGAAGAUUUGGCCCCUCCUACUCGCAACAACUACAGUCCUUAGAUCGAAUAUGGAACAAUAUUAUUGUUCUAAUUUAACAUUUAUUACGCUGGCCCAUUAAGUUGCCAUGUUUUCAUUUUAGUUUGUAGAGAGAGCAAUUUUAGAGGUUAACACUGUAAAUAACAAUAGAAAAUCAAGAUCUUUGCAUUUUUUUCAAGCAAUAUUUUAUGCCUAACUAUAUCCACGCAUUGAACAUUUUCAACUGUGCAAAGCAAAAAUCAUUGAGGUAUACUGAGCAGUUUGAUUGAUAUAUAUGUAUAAAUGUAUGUAUAACUGUAUAAUUUUCAACAGUUCAGUUACAUCCACAUAUUAAAAGGAUGUGAGCUCACAUUUGUACAAACCAAUGCAGUGCAAAGUGGGCAUCAUGCUGUAAACAACACCUUUUUAAUUUUUCUCUGUGUGCAUGUGUGCCUAUACUUGGCCAUACAACCCAGUCUCCCCAAUGCCCAGUGCGCUGUAUGGCUUUUUAUUCCUAUCUGACUCUACUGAUGGUUCAUAUAGGGAUGGAAGCCAUGCACCGCGCUGGAAGCACACACAACACACUGGAACAAGUGUAUUGCUGUAACCUCACACAUGCAAACACAGACGCAUACACAAAUCUAUACUGUGUAUGUGCAUAUGGGUUCAUGCGCUCAGGGGAACAGCUGUCACACAGUGAGAUAUGGACACAUUCACACAUUUAUGGUGAAUUUGUAAACCACUUCCUCAACACACAGAUCUGCCGCCACACCUCAAACAAAAUUGACAUUGAUCUCAACGAAGAGAACAAGUGGACUCUGAUGAAUCAGAUCAAUUUGAACCUGAGAAGCGGAACUCAUUCCAGGGGACCUGUCAAAAAACAACAACACAAUGAAGAACCAUUUCGUUACAGAUAUUGACCCCGCUUAGUUCUUAUUCUUGGUCCCUGUAGUGUAAAGAGACAUAGCGGCAAGUAAUUAUGACAACAACACUGUAUUUUGUCAUUCAGUGGCCAGGAACGUGAAUUUACUCAACUGUAGAUGGGGUCAGGUCUUUAUUGUAUAUCGCAGUUCAUGUCAACUGAAACUGAAGUUUAAAACUACUACUUAUAGAAACAAAGGGACUAUUAUGGUAGCGAUGCACACUGGGUCGAACAAAUGUCUCAUGCCUACCUCACCAUAAACAAGGAUGACAUAAUGUCAGCGUCUACUGGAAUACUAAAAGAUUGUCCUUAUGCAGGGAUCCAGUUUGCAAUUCAUUUUCAAUCCAUACAAUUCAAUUUAAUUCAUACGUGAGACUUUACCUGAACGUACCUUGCAGGGUGCUGCUGUUUUGGUUUGCAAUAGAGUCAAAAUGCAUGGACUCACCCUACAGUUUGAUGUCGUUUGUGAACUGAGAUAAUUACAUUUAUUGACCUCUUUUUUUCUAUAAUGGGAAAAGGGAGGCAAUUAUCCACGUAAAGUAAGUGAUGCAACCAGUGACUAAUUGGAGAGAUUAAAAACUAAUGCUAUCACUGGCAAUAUUGCUUGUAUAAAUAUUUCUGUAAUCCUAAAAUAUUGGGCUAUUAUUAUUUUCUCUUGCAUGUUAAUGUUUGGUAAGUAAAAAAUAUUUAUUAAAAAAAUGUCACAUACAGUCAAGCAUCAGUUGACAAAUCUUGAUAAAGUGGUAUUCAUAAAAAUCACUAACUGUGUUUUAAUCAUGAUAAGCCAUGGCAUUUUCCUCAUCGUGUCCCUUUGUGCAUUGCACUGUGAGAACUUUACAAUUAUGUCAUAAAGAAAAUGAUGCAAAUGAAGUUUUUUUCUAACACAAUACAAUAAAUGUUUGCCAUUUAA